GUGGUAAGUGUUGCAUGAAAUUUAGGUUUACUUGAGGAGGACUUUGUUGAAGGAACCACGAUGAUUGGUGAGGAGCCAAAGUCAUAGUUGGUUUAAGACAUGGCGCCAACAAUGAGACAUGAGUGCAUGACAAAAAGAAUAGACAACGACAAGGCUGACAAGUGGCUGCGUGCGAUCACUUGGACCAAGGGACAACACGCUAGUAGGAAAGGGAAAAGAGGGGUGGCUAAUGGCUACUAGAAGAGGAGAGGCAACACACGAGUUGGAGAAGAAAGUGAGUGAGGGUGCAGAAGCAGGUUAUUGGUAGAGGUGAAAGGCAUGACCACGAUUAGGAGUGACAACAACACAAGAGAGAGCCAUAGAACAUGAGGUGGUGAGGAAAAUAGAAGAAAAGAAUGACAUCAAAUGCAAAGAGAGGCUAGGUUUGAAUCAGAAAGAGACUCAUGAUACCAUGUAAGAACAUAUGAUAGUUUGAAUGUGUGUUUUCUUAUUCAUUAGAUAUCAGUAAAAAUACACAAGUCGUGCAAAGAUUUUGUGCAAAAAUAUAAUAACAUUAUCAUACAAAGAUGGUUAGUGCACAAAAUGAGACUAAGGACUUUUUAGCUCAAGUGGUAGAGCCUACGAUGGAACCUGGGGUGGAGCCUAUGGUGGAGUCUAUGGUGGAAUAUGUGGUGGAACAAUGGUGGCGUUGUUGUGGAGUUUGUGAUUCAUUCUUUUAUGAUUCAACUUGUUGCUCAAUCACAACAUGAGUCAAUGGUGGGUAAUCAUGAUAAUAUUUUUAUUGUGAAUGGAUCUUCUCUUAUUUAGAAUCUAGAUGGUGGUGUACAAGAGGAAUUUAUUGUCACUCCCAUUAUGAAUAGUUUGCAAAGAUUAUAACAAUUAGAUUUAACUCAUAGUAGUUCAACGAUAAUUCUUGACUAAUUCUUUAAAAUCUAAGCGGGCUCAUUAUGCAAAGGAUUUGAAAAUAGUUUCUAAAUAGGUUAAUAUGUUUGAUAUGAGAGAAGAUUCUAAUGCUAAAGAAGAUGACGAGUCAGUUCAAACUACAAGAAAAACUGAUGGGUAUAAAAAGAAAGUUAAUAAUAAUUCCUCUAAAAUAAAAAGUUUAAUAUGUUAAUGAAUUUGUUUUUUUUUCUGGUAUAUGAAGUUCAAAAUAUAAAAUAAUUUUCCCAAAAAAAUUAAGUAUUUUUUUAUAAUAGAUAUUUUUUUAGUUA
rnacentral:lncRNA from 1 species